GACAGAGGGUGCAAACGUUGUUCGGAAUUACUGGGCGUAAAGCGCGUGUAGGCGGCAACGCAAGUCGGGUGUGAAAGCCCUGGGCUCAACCUAGGAAGUGCACUCGAAACUGCGUUGCUUGAGUCUCGGAGAGGAUGGUGGAAUUCUCGGUGUAGAGGUGAAAUUCGUAGAUAUCGAGAGGAACACCCGUGGCGAAGGCGGCCAUCUGGACGAAGACUGACGCUGAGACGCGAAAGCAUGGGGAGCAAAC
rnacentral:rRNA from 1 species